rnacentral:lncRNA from 1 species
AUAAAUCCAAGUGUCGGCGGUCCUCUAUCUCUACUGUGCAGCUCAGAUUCGAGGAAAGUGUUCGAAAUCUCACAUGCAAAGGCAAAAUUAUAAGAGGGUGUCUUUUUUUUCCUUCUUCUUUUCUUUGAAUGCCAGUCUGAUCAUCACCAUCAUCAUCAUCAUUCGUCAGUCAUCACUGUAUAUAUAGUAUUUCUGGAAUUGAGUACUGAUUAAGUUAGCUAGUUAUGUGACUACGUCUUCUUUUUUGAAAUUUUGAUUCACUCUUGCGAUUAGGUUUUACUACUUGGGGACCCGAGAGGGCUAUAUAGGUCAGGUUUCUGUGUGCUUGUUUACUGCUUAGAGCGAGAGUGAGAUUGGGAAGCCAUGCAUUGCUUUUCCAAGACCAGGAGUAAUGAUGCUAACAUGGUAUAUAUAUCUCAAAGUUGAGUCAUUUCUAACUCUGAGAUUCCAAAGAGGCUAGGUCAAUUACAUUGCUAAUUUCAUAAGCAACAUAUAUAAGUGGUAUUGACCAGAGUGAAAGGAAAAGAAUAAUAAUUUUGCAUGGUUUUUAUAGUCAAUAGUUUGCUUUUUUAGAAUUAAGGUUUACUCAUGUUUUUACUCAAGUUGUAAGGGACGGUGGAGACUUGGUACGGUGAAAACAGUUUACUAAACAUUCAUCUGCUUCAUCUCACAACAAUAUUAGAAAUGAUUUUUCUCAUAAUGAUUGAUUUUAAAAGUUAGAACUGAUUCUUCUCACAGCACGUACGUAUAACAAUAUCAAACUGGGUAGUCUUUGUAGUAAUUAGAAUCAAUUACUUAUAUAUAUAUACUAUGAUAAUUAAACACUACUAAACUCGGCUGACCAUAUCUACGAUCGACUAAACAAUCAUAGCAGAGUUAUAUGGAAUGGAGGAUCAUGAAGAUAGAAAGGCACAUGUUAUGUCUACAUAUAAGCAUGCAAUUCAAAUCCAGAAAGAAAGAAACAUUUCCUUAAUUUCCUUAACUUCUUUAUAUUGUCUUCAUCAAUUACCAAACUUCAAUCAGAUCUCAAAACUUCUACUCCUUACCUUUACCAAACAUAAUUAAAUUCAUGACCAAAAUAUAAAACAACCACAAAAAUCAACAAAAUCCAAGUCUUGAAGAUUUUACACUGAUAAUUGACACCACUUGUGUAGAGCAGGUAGGAUCAAAUUCAAUGAGAUUCUAGAUAGAAAUCAUAGAAACACAAUAAAUAAAAAGGCAUUCAACCAGUGAAGGGCUAGCUAAGGGUGGACCAAUAUAUACAUAAUUAAUUUGUUGAAUAAUCUUUCACAUUUUUAAAUCAAACACAGUGAUGAAAUUCAGUCAAUUUUAAGAAGAUUUGAAUCAACUUAAAAUAUUGGAAACCCUUUAGUCUUUAGACUAAUGCAAGCCACGUACACAGACAAAUAGGUCACUGGCCAUGCAUGCAUAGUUGUUUUAUACCCACCUUUAACUACUGUAGAAAUUCAACAGUAUCAGCAAUUACUGAUGAUCUGGGUGAAGAUCAUAACAAAAUCGACAGGAUUUGAAAGAAUAGAUAUACAAAAUAUACAAAAUGGAAUGAAAGUGAAGGGAAAGCAGAUAUAGAUGGAUAUAUAGAAAAGAAAGUGUCAUUUUCCGGAAUUAAAGAAAAGGAAUUCGAAUUAUAAAUAGACAAAUAGUUCAGAAAGAGAUGUAAGAGCAUCAGAAUAAACAGUUCUUUUUCCAAAAGGAAAUUAAAGCCAGAAUGGGAUGGCUCAUGUGCUUCUCUUUAACAAGAAAACGCGUCUCUUCCACAGCUUGCAAGCUCAUCAUCUUCUUGUCUGGAUUAAAAGCUUGGACGACUACUUCAAUGGUGGUCAAGAAAACCCAGAAUAUAUAUAUAUAUAUAUAUAUAUAUAAGUUCAUCAUAUAUAUUGCGUCAUUAUGACAUCAUGACUUUGUUGCAUUGCCUGGGUUUGUUAAGGAAAGCUAGCUGUGAAUUGAUUCCUGAGGGUUAAGAAGAGCUAGAAGCCAUGGAUAUUCCGGUUGUUGUUAAUCUAUUGGCAUUAUUAGCAUCAUCCCACAUGCACGUUAUUUUCGUAUUUAAGAUUUGGAUUUAUUUGUUAAUAAAAACAAGAGAGGGUGUUUAUGGAUGAUAGAAACUCAGGGAGGCCAGCUAGCAAUAUUACGAACAAUAUUGCUACAGCUAUAGUUUCUAACAUUACUCAUUUGGUUGGGAUAAAACAAAACGAAAACAUAUAUGAUGCGUAACGUCUCAAUAACAAACCUUGAUAGCUAAGACUAUGACGUGAAACUGUAUAAUUCAUAACACUAAAUUAAUGAGAUAUAUGACAUACCAUUGAACAAAAUUACGCGUUGUAUUUGUCUAAUAAACUCUAAAUGAAAGAUGAAUCACUAUCUUAUACCAACUCGAAGUAACAUAACAUGUUCAUAAAUUUCUUAAUUCUCACGAUUAAUCGUUAUCGUAAAUAUGUCCGGACAAAUACUAUUGCUUCAUCAUGUUCAUAACUUCAUAUAUAUAUGACCCCAUCUAUUGAUUUUUGGAAAGGGACAAUGCAAUGUUGCCUUUUGACAUAUCAAAAUGCGAUUUCAUUUUAAUGUGUUCAAUGCACCAAACGUAGAAUAUAUAGCUGGUAUACCCCAUAACUUUAAGUUCUCAUGUGCUUAAACAUGUAGGCGAUUCGUCUCUUUGGUGUAAUUAUGAUUGGAUAUGAACAACCACCUCAUGAUCUGAUUCCCUUUCCCUUUUCUCUCCAAGCAGAAUAGAGUACCUCCUAAAGUUAAUGGGAUGAAGAACAUUCAAACAUAUAUGCCGUGGAUUGGAGCUUCUUGACAUGGCUCGAGGUCGACCCAACCACAGCUACCGCUAUAAUAUUGGACUUUUCAUUGUUAGGGAAAUCUUCGCUUUCUCUUUUAUGCCGAUCUGUCGGAUUGUCUUUGGGGGAGUACUGCAAUGCCAUUGAAACCUUGAGCAGUUGAGCCCCUGUCAUAUUGAUUUCUCAAUGGAAUUUCUCAACUGCACUAACCACUAGCUUGUACUUGAGACAUGUAAUUGCGUUCGGAUCGCGCUACAUAUGCUGACCCAGUUUGGUGAAGAUUAUUUGUUAGCUACGAAAAGCCAUUAUAGGAUGGUAGAAAGUUUGUUCUCAGUAAUUCAAGAAGCGAAAGGGCUUAGCAACACCAACACGAGCAUAUAUUCGGUUAAACCGGACCAUUUUAGGCACUCUGAUCCAUUGUAUUGUCGGAGCUUAAUUAUACAUGAAAUUCGAUUUCAUUCUUCUUAACUUUCUUGAAAAAGAAAAAAAAAAGAAAGAGAAAAACUAAGAAAUGUGAAAGAAGGGCCUUGGUACUGUUCCAGGUGAAUCCAUGUAUCAAAAUUUAACGUGUUUUGCACAUUAUACAUCUAAGUUAAAUCUAAACCAAAUUGUGAGAAUAUGGAGUACAACACGUCGAACAAUAUUAUUUAAGAUAUUCGUAAUGGGCUUGAUUUAGUGAUUACACUAGCAACCAUGGACAAGUGAGGCUGCACUGAUUCUAGCAUAGUUAUCAUUAGCCCAUCUCUGUGUAAAGAAAAGAUGGACACUGGAGCAUUUGCUUUCGUUCGAGUCAUUUGUAUAAAAAUCCUUAUUAUGGGCCAGCUUCUUCCAAAUUAGCUUAAUACAACUCCAAUUGGUACACGGAACUAUGAUCCUGUUAUCGUAAUAAUAAGGGGUUGGGCCGUAAUGUUUCUCUGUUAUAUUUAACAGUUUCGUUAGUCAAGGCUUCAGGGAAGCUGCACAGCCUGCAUUGGUCUUUAUUCAUUAAAAAAAAAACAAAGUCAUUUUCAAUUAGCUUUUAAAGUUCGUGACACUUGAUAUUUGGAUUAACCUUGAGCUGACCCGCUUAAUAAUAAGUGUUUUUUUUUUUUGAAUGAAAGAGGUCAUACUUUAUUAUAAGAAAAAGAUUACAGAUAGAUGAUGUAGAAACCACAUCCAGAAAUAAGAGAGAUACGAAAGUAAAAUUGCAACAUGAGCAUCGGCGCUAAAACAAUAACACCUAGACUCGGUUAUACGUUUACGGAUUGCAGCCGUUGAGCGAAGUGAGUAGUCGGUGGUUUGACUACCCACACAAAUCCAAUGCACAAAAUGAUAAGAAUCAUUCCGGCAUCGGAAUGAGGACAAUCUUCCACCUGAAGAAUCGAAGCCAACCAAGGGUGAUUCUAGACAAGACCGUAUUGGCAAACGAUCCUUGACGAACAGAUACCAUAACUGUGGGUCAGUCAACCAAUACCAAAGCCAAAGAGAUAGCCAUAACCACAAAAGUGGCAAUAGGUCCAAAAGAAGAACUUGGGUUGAUCCCAGGCCCAAGGUCCGCUCGGAUCCCACACCCAGACCCGACUCCAGACUCGGAUCCAAAUAAUACGUGCUUAAGAAAAUGCAACCAUUUAUUUUGAAAUUGUAGCAAGUUCAUAUCAGUCUCUCACAAAUGAUAUCACACAAUCAAAAUAUAAACAAAUAGUCAUGUAUGUAGCACAUCGACACAAACUGUAUAGUAAGCUCAUUUGCUAAUCCUAUUUCUUCAAUGUGAAUCGAGCCAAGCUCAACUUUUCAAGCAAACAGUUUUUCUAGGAAGCCAAAAUAUAUAGAUGGGCUUCUUAGACGGAUAGACGAUGAUCGAGAAGAAAUAUAAUCUUUGCUCUCUUGAAAUGUUUGGUCUUCUAGCUGCUUCGAUUGAUGGAUAGAAUCAUGAGAAACAAAAGGAAGAUGAAAAUGACAGGUUCCGAAUUCAGAAGAGAUUGAUUUCAAUGUGAUUCUGUGUGUACUCUCUAGUUUAUGGGAAAGUGACGCCACGUAGUUUCCACAACUUUGAUCCUAUCUAUCAUGCAUCAUGAAUCAAUAAUUCUUGAUACAUAAGCAGCAUAAGCAACUCUCCUUUCUCUCUUCCAUUCUAGGAUAAUAAUGUAUUUGUGUUCUCACCAUCCAUAAUCUUUUACAUUCGUUCGUGCAUUUUCCUAACAAAGUUUUAAAGAAAUCACUGCAAAUAUAACUUUCACUUUGUAGAGUUCUUCGUCGAUAAAAAAUUUCGUUAUGUUGUGCAGCAUCCACACCAGAACAACUAUUAGACUAGCAAUUGGUUCACAUACUCUUUUGCAUUCAUUCAUACUUUUCUCGAACAAAGUUGUAGAGAACUCAUUAUAAGUGUCUUCGCUUUAUAGAAUUCUUGAUCACUCAAAAUUUUCAAAGGGGUACGUUACAUCAUAACAACUGUUAGAUUAACUCAACAAAGUGUGUCUAAUUUUGAAUUUGACAAAAUAAUUUGAUGGAGUUGCUCUCAGAACCAUAUACGUACAUAGAAACAAGAACCAAAGAAGAAGAUGAGGAUGAAGAUGAAGGACCAGGUCACCGAAGCUUUUGAUGUGAUUGAUAACAAAAAUAAAGUUGAUCCCAUAAUUACAUUUUAGUUGCCAAAUAACAUCACUAGAUUUAACUGCACCGGGAAAUCUCGCAGACGCCGGCGGUGAACUCGGGAUCUUUGGGUGAGGGGAGGAGACUGACGAGGAGAUCGGAAAAUGCGCCGAUGAUGAACUUGUGAGUGCUCUUAGGGUUGAGCGCGAGAUAACACAGGAGCAGCUCAUGCAGGAACUCCCAGUUAGAUUUGACCUUCACGCUCUCGUCCUCCGUCUGGUGCUCACGCGCCUCCACCAUCUCCUGCAUGGAGCGCCGGAAGUCGAGUUAGGGGUCGGGCGAGUAGGUGGGCACUUGAUAACAUGAUAUUCAUGGCUAACCUGACAGAGCUUGAAGGUUGAAGAAGGAAGCAAAACGCAGAGAGAAAACACAGCCACACAAAAUUUAUUCAAACAUAAAAUGAUCUCAGCAUAGCAUUCUAUUACAACCAGCUGUAAUAGAAACUAAUUAGGACAACAUUAAGGCUGACUGACAGCCGUCAUACAUACCAUUAGCUAAGGAAACUAAUUAGGACAACAUUAAGGCUCUAAUUAACCAAGUACUGAUUAACUAAAGAACAACUCAUUAUUUAACACCGCCACGCUGUUGUGCUUGAAGGGCGCGUGGAGAAGAAGAAGAGAUGGGAGGCGAAGACGGCGGCGGCGGCGGCGGUGUCUGUGUCGUUUUCCGUUUCUGUGGUGGAGAGAUCGGAAGACUUAAUGGAGCAGGAGGUGGUACGUGGCGGAGUCGAAGAAGGCGUGGUCUUCGUCGUAGAGGGAGUUCAUCACCCUGAAGGCGGUCGAGGCGGUGGAGGUUGUUGUUCGACGGGAGGUGGUUUGAUAGUCAAGGGUGGCGGCUUGUCCUUUGGGGCUCUGUCAUCCCUUCCGCUUGGCAUUCUGUGAGAGAGAGAGAGAGAGAGAAAUAAAAAGAGGAAGAAGAAGAGUGGGAGAUUUAGAGCAUCUGCUGCCGUAUAUGAUAAAAGAAUGGAGACGUCUGGAAUACACCGGAGUGUCCGUGCUCCGGAUAUGUUUUCUGACAAAAGUAAAAAGUAAAUAAACCUGUUUACCCAUCACGGAGUUGCUAGGCGCGUCGGUAUUAGUUUUAAUUUUUUUUGUUAUUGUUUUCCCUUUGAUAAGUUUUAUGGGUUGGAUCCGGCAUUAGGCGGCGGUAGUGCGAAACGCAGUUUAGGUCUGGGUAUCUGUCCACCAUCUGUCAUCGUUCUUUGUUUUCUGGGUUGGAUCCGGCAUUAGGCGGCGGCGUAUUGAGAUCAUCUAUAACUGGAUCCUAUUCCGUUGUGCUGUUUUCGUAUAUCUGGAAACGGGCCGUGUCGAAACCAUUCUGAUCGAUCUCCCAUUCGAGCGUAAAUCGAUCUCCCAUUCCAGAGUAAAUCGAUCUCCUAUUCGAGCGUAAAGGUAGUCGUUGUUGAUAUGAAACAAACUUGUAUCAUAGUUCAUUCCUGUAAUGAUUUAUAGAUUGUUGGGUGCGAAUAAAAGCACUCAUUUUUUUGAAUAAAAUCAGUUAACGUGCGUUGUCUGAGGUGGCAUCGCAGCAGCGUCGCAAGGACUACGUUGAAUCCGUUGUAAGUUUAAAAACUUCAAAACCCUGUUUUUAUGAGAUGGAGGUUGAAAUAUGAAGUUUUGAUAACAAGGCAUAAAUUUAUGUUUCCAUGACAUAUUGUAUUAACGCCGUUGGUUGAAUCCUUUGCUUUGUUGUGCAGGUCGAUCUCCUCCUGUCCGUAUUUGCCGCCGAACUUAAACAGUCCCCAUGGGUCUGUUCGGAAGCAGCUUCAUUCACCUAUUUCUACCCAGCCAUAUGCACAACUGAGGUUAACGACUAUGACUCUGGUGUAUGCGUCAUCAGGAAUAUGCAGUUCUACGGACAGCGUUGGUAUGAAGGGGUCAGUUACCAAACCAUUCUUUAUGUUUGAAGCGCAUAGUAAAGCGUAAUUGUCGUUGAAUCUCUUAUCUGACCAAUUAUCUGCAUGCCUAUAUGUAUUGUAGUACAAUUCUGGUGAUCAGAGAAUGAGGAUCGCCCUUGAAGUAGUCAACAGCCCCCUCAACGAAUGUCGCGAUGAUGUCUGGGAUUGUGUAUACCUUGAGAAGAAAAAUGCCAGCAAUUUGCAGGAUCGUUCAGGAUCUGAAACCCUUGAUCCUCUACUUGACCGGGCCGGAAUGAGGUUGAAGCCUCGUCUUCCUCGCAGAUGAAGUUAGCAGGUGUUGUGGUUGUAUGAAUAUCUGAAAUCGCCCAGAAAUUUUGAUGCGGGAAUCUGUAUUUGCAUGACAUAACAAUUAAACUUUGACUGUGGUUGUGCAUUUUUCGCAUUCAUACUGGGAAAAUAUGUUUCGAUGUGUCAAGACUAGUGUUGAAUAACUGUUUACGGCCUUCCUUGUGUGGUGCCUAUGUAUGGGGUUAUAUCGAGAUUCAAAUAUAUUUGGCACGACCGCCUUUUAUUGAAUGUGAAUAAGUAGAGUAUAUAAUCAACAGGUUCGGAUGUUCAACCCAAUAUAUUAAUAGUAGAUUUAGUAUCCGCGGCAGUUUGUAAUUGAAGCUGAAGAAUACUCGCCAACAAUACACGUUGCUCAUACACUAUAUACAUAUCACAGUGAAAGUGGGGCUAUUACAAAAACAACACUUCAUUGUGUCAUGUCCGAAAUAAUAAAAUGCUUCAAUAGUUAUGGUUUGUAGGUUCAGAAAUCAGAGUCUGGAGUAGUAUAAAAGUUGAGGGCACAAUCAGUUACAAUUUGCAGUCCAAAAUCCUGACAAAUUCUUUUUCCACCUCGCAUAUCUGUCAAAUACAGCACAAUAUAAGAAUUUACUCAUAGUACAAAAGGUAAUGAACAUGAAACUGAAAAUGAACUUAUCUGAAUACAACUGAGAUCUAUAACAUUGAGGAUAUCAGGUAAAGAUUGAAGGAAUAAUUUCAUAUAUCAUUGCCAAUUGUAGGGAGCUGAGAGUACUAACAGUGUAGCAAGUGUACAAUCUGAAAGAAACAAUUCCAAUUGUUUCCUUUAGACCAACAGUACUAACUAAAAUUUACUUUUAAUUGGAUCAAAAGCUAAUUAAGAUUUUCUCUGCCUUUUUACUGUGAGACACCAAAUGAGAUCAGUUUUACAUUCCUUUUUGAAAUCUUGUAUUCAUUCAAGCUUUCAACCUAGAAACCAGUGAAAAAUUAAACAAAAUCUUUGUGUCACUGUCUGAGCACAUAAAGAAAUACAAUCAAAUCCCAGAUGGACUAAAAGCCAUGUAAAAUCGGAAAUUCUUAAUCUUUCAACAGUUCAACUGAGUCUGACUUUUCUUAACAUUAAUAUGAUGCUAUCUGUAACCAACCAAAGGUGCACAGUUUGAAGUUUUGUUAUUCGAAGAAAACUUAAAUUCCCCGUAGUCUGAAACUAUCUACGAAAUCAGAAACUUUUUCAGAAAAUCCUCCAACUUCAAGCACACUUCCAUUUUCCUUAUCACGAAAUGUAACACAUGCACUUGAAACAAAAAUCAUAUUCAAUGACUUAAUGUCCCUUAUUUAAAUCAGCAAAUAAAGAAGAAAAAAAUAACAUAAGUGCGUUACAUACUGAAGAAAUCAAACAAUCGCAAAACUGAGAUCCCCUUGUCAAUGACAGUGGAAUAAUAACAAUUGACAUCGAACAUCUUAAAAAACGGUGGUGUUAGAUUUAAAUUAGAACAUACAAAUGAGGUGUAAUAUACCUGAACUUGAAAGAGCUAUAUAUGAGAGCUCACUGUUCACAAAGAUGGUUAUUGAACUGGUACCCAGAUCUGCAAUACAAAAAAGAAAAAAACAUUCAAAUUCAAAACAAAUUCUAUGCUGCAAAACCAAAUAUGUUGUUCAAGGUCAUUUUGACAAAAUUGGACCAAAUUCUAUGCUGCAAAACCAAUAUGUAAACUACUUGCAUCUGUGAGACGAUCCCAUCGUUGACAUUAAUACGCAGGGUGCAGCAUUGUGUCCAGCAAACCAAGUCCUUACAAACACUAAUUUUUGUGGGCCAACAAGAUACAUGUCUAUCGUCGACCCGUUACAAAAAUCAUAAUUCUGCUUAAACGCCAUAUAUCCAUCCACAAACCGAGAUGUGGACCCUGAUUCACAUAAUUUCAUCGUGCACGUCUCACCCUCCAUUGACUGUAUGGUGAAAGACUUGUCCGAAGUAUGUAAAUAUCUUUGGAUGAACUCAUGCGGGAUGGUCUGCACACAAAUUAAUAUUAACAUUACAAUACAAUCAGUGAGAAUAACCAACAACAAAUUUGUGUUACUUAUUUUGGCAGGGUACAUAAUUACCCCGUGAUCGUCUUGCAAUGUAGAAACGAAUGUGGGAUACAAACGGAGUUGCUCCAAGCUGUAAGUAUCCCCAAGACAUCCCCGUAUGUUUCGUAUUCCAAUAGCGAAGUGUGAUCCCUCCAAAACAAACUGGACAGCCUCCCCUCAGCAUCUUUGGUGUACCUAGCGAAAAAUAACGGAUCCUCCUGCCCUUUUAACCGCAUCCAGUUCACGGCAGCUUCAGCAUCACCAUGCUGUUUAUUAAUUUUUUUUUCCGCAUCCAACCUGUUAUACAAAUCUUUCAGCAAGAAACCCACAAACUCCGCCCCCCCUGAUUGCUUUAGUAGAUAGUCGUAAGCUGCGCUUGUGGAAACUUGUGCUUCUCUCAGCGCUUGCACUUCAUAUAUGUCUUGAAUCAGAACAUGCCUAUUGGAACGCAGUAAAUACCGCUCGGAGACUUGUGCAAGCUCAUGGUUGUGGUCUGUAACAAAUUUGGAUACAUGAUAUAGUCCGGACUUCUUAUUUAGCUUCACCCAUAACAACGCUCUGCAUCCGCUUCUGCUGUAUUUUAUUCCCGAAAAACAGCCUUCUUCUUCCCCUUACACUUGUCACUGAAAACGUUACGCUUUAUCUUCCCUCCUUCCUCAUAUUCAAAAGGAGGUUGCUUAUUAUUUCUUAACUGUUUGCAAUACCCCUCUUUAGAACAGUUCCAGCUCCUUCUAACAACCACCUCAACACCAUUUACUACUAACUUAUCCAUCUUAUUCUUCCUUAUGCUAAACCCCAUAAUAAAUCCAUAAUACGAGUAGAAUUGCUCGGCUUCAUCCAGGUUUCUAAAAGAUAUAUCUUCAAUGUCUUCUAACUUAAGCGUCUUCAUGUUCUUCCCCUCCAAAUGUAAAAACCAAUCUGUCUCAAAUACAGCUCUUAAACCACCUACUUUUACUCCCUCUUCCAAAUCAUUGACACACUUAUUCGAAUCCAUCCCAAUUUUAUCCUCCACAAACUUACCGCUGUCCCCCUUUUCAAUAUUGCUUUUUGCCUCCUCUUUGUAGUCAUCACAAUCUUCCGUGACAUUCGCAAUAUCACUCUCUUUUCCGUCUGAAUCUGUCUGCUGGUAAUAUUUCUCCUUGCUGAACCGGAGACCACCGUCAUCAAUUUCCGGGUCAAUAUUCAUCCUCUACUUCAAUUCAGUAUUAAAAAAAAAACAAUGAUUAUAAUUGUUGUCGCCAUCUGCAGAAAUUUACAACAGUAACAUGUCAGAUAAUGGUAACAAAGGCAUUUACACUUACAAUAAUAAUGGUAAUGGUCACAUUCUGCGUAUAGGAACAUGAUUGCAAGAAAGUUUGAUUCAACUUUGAAGGCAAACCAGCCAUGACUAUCCCAUGGAAGACCACAGACAAUAAGUAUGGCAGCUAGUACAAAUGAAGGACCAUAUUUUCAGCUUCCCAAUUUUUCUGGCCAUGAAUAUCUUAACGUGGAAUGUCUAUAACUAGUACAAAAUGAAAAAGUAACUAUAAUUUUCUUCACUACCAUAAUUAAGCAAGCUAACCAUUCAGUUGUUCAUACUCAUGUCGAUUGUCAUGGGAGGGCAAGGGAAGGUCUGAUUUUAAGUUCUAAUUAGGUACAGAACGUAUCAUUCUCAAUAAUGGCAAAGAAGGUAUUUCUAGCUUCUGCAUUUUGCUGCAGGACAUAAUGUAGAUAUGAUGCUUAUCACAAUGGUAGUGGGAUCAUAACUUGCAAUCAUAACAAUGACAAAUUUGAAUUCUAGUAUAGGGUAUUAGAAUAGUACCCUCGGUUGCUAUACUUAACAACCAAUAGAAGGACAGCCAUAUAAUGUAAGGGACAUGCAACUCUCACAUUGCUUAUCGAACUGAAGUUGAGCAGAAUGUUUGGGUCAUUGGGUGCCUCAGAGAAAACUCAAAAGAGAAAGAAAUAAAGGAGCAAUGGAGGCUGUGGUGCUCAAGCUUCUACAAUUUAGUUGAGAUGCUACCUCAUAUUAUUUUCAACUAGAUCGAAAAUCAAACAUAAAGCAGAUCAAAUUCAAGUAUCAAUUAACCACAACACAAUCAAAAACAAACAUAAAAACAUUACAAAAUUCAUCAAAACAAAAGCAAAAUCCUAAUUGGAAUCGUUUACAUCCAACACAGAAAUCCUAAAAAAACGAAGAAGAAGGGAUCUAGAGGACGAAACAAAACGAUCGGAGAGGAGAAAUUGAGCCUUAAACCACUUACCUUCAAUUCAGCUAGGGAGUCGUGUUCCUGGGUUUCAACAUCAAACGACUCUUCUCUCUCACUCCUUGUAUGGAUCUGAUUUUGUGGCUGAAAACCCAACCGUAUCCCAAUUGAAGCUUCUUCAACACAACUCGACCUUCUUCCCCAAAUUCACUUUAGAUUAAACAAUUGGGUUAUCGCCCAAUCGAAGCUUCUUCAACACAACUCGACGUUCUUCCCCAAAUUCAGAUUAAACAACUGGGUUAUCGCCCAAUCGAAGCUUCUUCAACACAACUCGACGUUCUUCCCCAAAUUCAGAUUUACCCACGUCCGUCUCUGAAUUGCGCUCGAAAAAUUUACCGAUGAGUGCAUAUCACGCGCUCAAAAACCUGCCAAUGGACGAGCGACACGUCAGAAAACAUAUGCGGAGUACAGACACUCCCGUGUAUUCCAGAACUCACCGUAGAAUCUUUUGAUACAACAUGCAGGUGUCCAGACAGACACGUAGGUCGGUGGAGCCGCAUCGCUGACGUAAGUCACGAGCGUGGGCCUGACUGAAGUGGAUAAUCUCACCUGAGUCACCCUUCUUCUCUAGGUUAGAUAUCUCCCUAACAAAACUAACCUGGUUAGAAAAUAAGAUAACCUAUUUUAUAGGUAGAAGCUAAAAAUUUUGGGCUGUGUCACUUUGUCUAUGUAAAUUUAACCUGGGUUGGAUUUUUAGUCACCGGUGGACUUGCUCUCGUCACUUUAUUUUUUUUCUUUUGAAAAUAAUUUAGUCUAAACAUAUCUAAUAUUAGACUCAAAUCAAACAUAUCGUUGGGUUCUUCGUAACGGUAUGAUUUUUAUUACUUACAAAUUUAUAAACAUGAAGUUUAAAGAGAAAAAGAAAUUAUAACUAUACUUAAAAAAAAGAUACAAGUGGAAUAAUAAUAAGGUUACUUGAAAACAAAAAGGUAAAAUGGAACAAAAAGAGAAAAUAAUUAAAAAUAAAAGUGAUACACCUUACCAAAUAGAAAGCUAUAUAUAUGCCUUGUUACUGUAGAUGUAAGGCAAUUUUUUUUUUUUUUUGAGAAACGUGGAAUACCUUACGAUGGGUGAAGGCGGUAAGGUAUAUAUGCGUCUGGUCCAAAUUGUAGCAACUUCAUAUCAGUCUCUCACAAAUGAUAUCACACAAUCAAAAUAUAAACAAAUAUGUCAUGUAUGUAGCACAUCGACACAAACUGUAUAGUAAGCUCAUUUGCUAAUCCUAUUUCUUCAUUGUGAAUCGAGCCAAGCUUAACUUAUCAUGCAAACAAUUUUUCUAGGAAGCCAAAAUAUAUAGAUGGGCUUCUUAGACGGAUAGACGAUGAUCGAGAAGAAAUAUAUAAUCUUUGCUCUCUUGAAAUGUUUGGUCUUCUUGCUGCUUUGAUUGAUGGAUAGAAUCAUGAGAAACAAACGGAAGAUGAAAAUGACAGGUUCCGAAUUCAGAAGAGAUUGAUUUCAAUGUGAUUCUGUGUGAAAGUGACGCCACGUAGUUUCCACAACUUUGAUCCUAUCUAUCAUGCAUCAUGAAUCAAUAAUUCUUGAUACAUAAGCAGCAUAAGCAACUCUCCUUUCUCUCUUCCAUUCUAGGAUAAUGUAUUUUUGUCCUCACCAUCCAUAAUCUUUUGCAUUCGUUCGUGCUUGUUUCUUACAAAGUUUUAAUGAAGUCCCUGUAAAUAUAGCUUUCGUUUUGUAGAGUUCUUUAUCGAUAAAUUUUUUGUUAUGUUGUGCAGCAUCCACACCAGAACACCUAUUAGACUAGCAAUUGGUUCACAUACUCUUUUGCAUUCAUUCAUACUUUUCUCGAACAAAGUUUUAGAGAACUCAUUAUAAGUGCCUUCGUUUUGUAAAAUUCUUAAUCGUUCAAAAACUUUCAGACGGUGCGUUACAUCAGAACAACUGUUAGAUUAGCUCGACAAAGUGUAUUAUAUCCAAGAACAAGUUGAGAUAACAUAAUCAUAAACUCCCCACUAAACCAAACACAACGGAAAUAAUAGUAUUGUAUACAAUCUUGAUAAGCAACGCAAUGGUGGGAUGAAGUCAUGAAGCUCAUGCAAGGAAUUGAAGCACGAUUACUUGUCCCGACCGGAAAAUACCAACGUCAUUGUCCUUACCAGAGAGACGUGGCGCCAUAUGGGCGCUCGGAAAGUGAAACCGAGUAGGAUCCAAAUAGCCAAAGCACACAUGCAUUUGGGAUUUUGAUUUCGAUCACUUCGAUAUAUCAGUGCGUCAUUCAUAGUCCUUAUCAUGGAUUCAUUCAAUCCCAAAAUCACACAUGUCACAUGCCACGUUCCAUCAAACUCAUAUUCAUAAAAAGCUGCUUGCUUGUGAUUUGUGAUCACUUCUCGCUUUCUAACUCCUCCUUUCUCUCUGACUCACUCAACCACCAAACCAAACAAGCUAGAAACUAGAACAAGUUAGAAAACACAACCCAGAACUGUGUUUGAUCCUGGUUUUCAAUUUUGUUUGAUCAAAGCUAGAGCUUUAUGCACAAUGCUUGGGAAUGGGGUUGUUGGGAUCGUCUCGGAGACUGUGAACAAGUGGGAGAGAAGAGCACCAUUGACCCCAUCUCACUGUGCUCGGCUGCUUCACAGUGGCAGUGACAAAACCGGAGUGUCUCGGAUCAUUGUGCAGCCUUCGACCAAGCGCAUCCAUCAUGAUGCAUUGUAUGAAGAAGUUGGCUGUGAGAUUUCAGAGGACUUGAAGGAAUGUGGCCUCAUUUUGGGGAUCAAACAACCCAAGGUUUGCUAACUAAUCAAGAUUGUUACUUUUGGUUUUGCUUAUGUAAGAAUUGUUAUAACAAUUUUGUAUGGGAUUUUGGUGCAGCCGGAGAUGGUUCUUCCGGAUAGAGCUUAUGCGUUUUUCUCACAUACACACAAGGCACAAAAAGAAAACAUGCCGUUGUUGGAUAAGGUAUUGGUUUCUAAUGGAUUGUGAUGUUUAUCAAAUCUUCUGUGAUCUUUUUGUGCAUGUAUAUAGUGAUGUGGUUGUUUUGAUUUAUGUUAGUUGAUGUUUAAUGUGGCGGUGCAGAUUCUAAAAGAAAGGGUGUCUUUGUAUGAUUAUGAGCUAAUUGUUGGGGAUCAUGGGAGGAGAUUGCUGGCAUUUGGCAAGUUUGCUGGUAGAGCUGGAUUUAUUGACUUUUUGCGCGGCUUAGGACAAAGUAUGUUACUGGAUUCAGGUUUAUCAGUUUGUUAUGAUUGAAUUUGGGGAUCAAGUAAAAGUAUUCUCAGCUUUAGCUGGUUUACUUUUAAUGUGCGACUUUAGAGCUUAAAAUAGUGGAUUAUCUGUGCUUUCAUUUCUUUUCCAACAGUUCUUGUUUAUAAUGUUUAGUUGAUUUCAACCUUUAUUUCUUCUCUUUUUCUUCCAAUGUUUGCUUUUCAAGGGUACCUAAGUCUUGGAUAUUCGACACCAUUUCUUUCGUUGGGUGCUCCGUAUAUGUAUUCAUCUUUGGCUGCUGCCAAGGCCGCAGUGAUUUCUGUUGGAGAAGAGAUAGCAACUCUGGGAUUGCCGGCAGGAAUCUGCCCACUCGUCUUUGUCUUCACCGGUUCAGGAAAUGGUACAUUGAACACGACAUUCCUUUCGUGACUAUUAACAAUGUUGUCAACUUUCUGCUUCAUAUUUUUGAUGUCUUCUCCGGUUGAAGAACUAAUCUUAUGACUAUUGUAUAUACAAGUGCAUUCCUGAGGUUGUCUCACUUGUAACAAACUAUGAUACAUUUCUCAGCUCUGACGUAGGACUUUACUAGUUCUUAUGAUCUGAUUCUAUCACAAUUUGUUCCCGGCUGUAGUUUCUUCUGGUGCACAGGAAAUAUUUAAGCUUCUUCCUCAUACUUUUGUGGAGCCAAGCAGACUUCCAGGAGAAUCUGGGACGGUGUGAACCAAACUCUUUCUGCAUAAAUGUUUAUGACGAAUUCCUUCUUGCCCUUGAGUUUCACAUGUUGUCCUUUUUGGUUAACCACCAGGAUGCUGCUCCACCCACCAGGACAUCAAAGAGGGUCUUCCAAGUAUAUGGUUGUAUUGUGACUUGUAAAGACAUGGUUGAACACAAAGAUCCCAAAAAAUCAUUUGACAAAGUAAGUUCACUCUUUGUCAUUUUUAUCUACUUUAUUGUUGUCAUCAUCUAAGAUAGUAAAAUACUGACCCAAAUUAUUGUACUGUGUUUCAGGCUGAUUAUUAUGCACAUCCAGAACACUACAACCCAGUUUUUCAUGAAAAGAUAGCUCCUUAUGCAUCUGUAAUUGGUCUGUAUUACAGUUCUCCAUCAAAUAAGAUACCAUGAGUCUAUUACAUUUCAUAUUGAUGAUUCAAUUUUUACGUAGAUAAAUAUAUUACCAUUUUAUUCUUUCCUUCUCUUUGGCAGUGAAUUGUAUGUAUUGGGAAAAAAGGUUUCCUCGAUUAUUGAGUACCAAGCAGUUUCAAGAUUUAACAAGGAAAGGAUGUAAGCUUGUUGGCAUCUCUGAUAUAACUUGUGAUAUAGGUGGAUCGAUAGAGUUUGUUAAUCAAACCACACAAAUUGACUCACCGUUCUUCAGGUAUAGUAUCAACAAUAAAUGAAUUGUUCAAAAUGAUAGACAAGUUAAUGAAGUUAUGUUAUAUAUCAUCUUCAACCAUGGUCUCAGAUAUGAUCCAGUAAAAGAUUCUUACCAUCAGGACAUGGAAGGUGAUGGUGUGGUAUGUUCAGCUGUGGAUAUUCUUCCAACAGAAUUUGCAAAAGAGGUACCUUUCAUAGGCAUUUUGUUCAGUAAUUGUAAUAAUCUUUUGGAAACAUGAAACAUCAAGACCAGAAAGUGAAACACUUCUCAUUUUCAUGAAACUUGUUGUGGAAAGGCUUCCAAACACUUUGGAGACAUAUUAUCCGAAUUUGUUGGCUAUUUGGCUUCUACAAAAGACAUUAGAAAGUUACCUGCACACUUGAUGAAAGCUUGCAUAGCUCAUGGAGGAACACUUACUCCAUUGUAUGAAUACAUUUCUCGCAUGCGAAAAUUUGAUGACUCAGAGUAAGUCUCAGAUCCAUCUCAUGUGUCGUACCCCAUUGUAAACACUUGCCCAUUUUUCAUUUUCUUACUUGUCUUCUUUUGUUGAUCUAAUAAUUAUUGGACUAGUCACAUGUUAACCUUCUGCAUUUACAGUGAAACAUCAAAAGGUCAUGCUAGUCACCACUUUAACAAGAAGUACACCACAUUAGUAAGUAUCUAAGAGUUUUUGGAUUAUGAUAAUUGGAUGUUGCCAAUUGCUCCUCUUUCAUUAUUGAUGAAUAUUGAUGAAUUCACUCUCUAAAUGACAGGUAUCUCUCAGUGGUCACUUGUUUGAUCAAUUUCUGAUAAAUGAGGCCUUAGAUAUUAUUGAAGCUGCAAGUGGAUCCUUCCAUCUGGUGAAGUGUCAAGUUGGUCCAAGUUCUCAUGCUAUGUCAUACUCAGAACUCGAAGUGAGUAGGCCUCAAGUCCAGUUCGAUCAUAGGAGAGAGAAUAUGCUACUUCUAUUCUCUUUCUCUAUCUGCCUAAUUAGCUCUCUACUUGGAAUUGAAUUUAGUUGCAGUAUAACUUCGGUCUGAAUAAACUAAAAUUCUUUGCUUACAUAAUUAGAUACCUUGCAUAAUAUUAUUGCAUUGCUAUGAACAGGUCGGUGCAGAUGAUGAGGAAGCUCUGAAUAAAAUUAUCGAUUCUUUGACUUCUCUUGCCAAUCCAAAUGAAAAUCAAGUGUUAAAGCAAGAGGCAAAUAGAAUUUCACUGAGGGUCGGUAAAGUUCUGGAUAGUGGAGCUAAGAAGGAGAAUGACACGAAAAAGAAGGUCGGGGUUCUAAUCAUUGGAGCAGGACGGGUCUGUCAACCAGCUGCCGAAAUGCUAGCAUCAAUUGGUGGAAUGUCGUCCCAACAAUGGUAUAAAACAUGCAUGGAAGGUGACUUUGAGGAGAACAUUGAUGUUCAAGUUACUGUUGCAUCUCUCUAUCUAAAGGAUGCUGAAGAGGUAUGUAUGUAACAAUGUUGGUAUUAGUUUGUUUAGAACGGGAUGGUGCAAGAUUGUCUAUAUAUCUCUCUAUAUUUUUUUCAUUCUUUUGCAUUUGAGUGUUUGAUACUGGAAGAUUGGAUGCAGAUCACUGAAGGUAUUCCAAAUGCAAACCCAGUUCAGCUUGAUGUGUCAGACACUAGUACUCUUCAUAAGUAUAUAUCAGAGGUAAGUACUUUUCAGAAGUACACUGAACAGGUAUGCUGAAAGUGUACUGCAAAAUGCCGGGAUUAAUGCUUGAAAGAGCAGUUAUGCAUACUCGAGAAAAUUUCAACACAUACUUGUUCAACAUAUUGUGUUUAACUUAUAAGUCCACUAUUUCUCGAGUCAUUGUCAAUUCUCUUUACCUCUUUCCUUCCAUCAUGCAGGCUGAGGUUGUUAUAAGUUUACUGCCUGCUUUUUGUCAUGUUACUGUAGCAACUGCAUGUAUUGAGGUACUUUACAGUGUCUCAAAAGUUAAUUUUACUUUGUUGUAAAGAACAGAAGCAUAGAGAUCAUGAAAGAUUCCUAGUCAUGACCGAUACAGGAUUCUUCAUGUAUUGGGCCCUGUUAUUUAUUUUGAUUUUAUUUUAGCUAAGAAUAUGUUAUCUGUACAUGCAGCUCAAAAAACACCUUGUCACUGCUAGCUAUGUUGAUGAAGCCAUGUCAAAGCUAGAUGAAAAGGCAAAGACUGCUGGUAUUACGAUUCUUGGCGAGCUGGGGUUGGACCCUGGGAUAGGUAAUGAUUUAGCUGACCAUGGACAAUUCCUUCAUAAUACAUUUCUAUAGAAAUUUCUAGAGGCAUGAUAUCACCUUCCAUUAUUCUGUCCUACUUCAGAUCACAUGAUGGCGAUGAAGAUGAUCAACCAAGCACAUGUUCGCAAGGGGAAAAUAAAGUCUUUUAUUUCUUACUGUGGUGGACUCCCAUCCCCAGCUGCAGCAAACAAUCCUCUAGCAUAUAAGUUCAGGUAUUUGUUGGAUUGGGCACACUCCUUACUUCAUGGUAGUCAAGCUUCGAUUGGAUAAGUGGUUACAAUACAGACAAGUAUAGGGUUUUAACUUCUGAUUUUAGUCCUAUGUAAGUAACUAAUCAACCAUUUCAGCUGGAGUCCUGCAGGAGCUAUCCGAGCUGGACGCAAUCCUGCCACCUAUAAAUCUAACGGUGAAAUUAUAAAUGUUGAUGGUAAGUGAGGAAAACAGAUGAUAAGUCCACUGUUAUUUGACUAUACACAACAUGGAAUCAGUUCUAUUUAGCAUAGGAAGAUGUCAUUAUUUUGGAGGUCUUUGUUCAGCCUUUCACUUUUAUGAUACAAAAUUACAGGUAAGAAUCUAUAUGAUUCAGCUGUGAAGUAUCGGUUACCUGGCCUUCCAGCUUUUGCGCUAGAAGGCCUUCCGAAUCGUAAUUCACUAGUUUUUGGAGACUUGUAUGGCAUUGGAAAGGAAGCAUCAACCGUCUUUCGUGGAACCCUUCGCUAUGAAGGUAUGGCAUGCGUGACAUUUUAGAUUAACUUUUGGACAUAUACACUUGUGUACAUACUUGGCUUGAUUGUUAAGCAAGAUUUGUUAAGUAGGAUAACAAAGACAUCAGGUGGUUAGCUCAGUGUGCUAUUUUCUUACAAUUUCGCACGAAUCAUUCGAAUAGGGUUUGGCCAAAUAAUGGGAAUACUGUCAAGAAUUGGCUUAUUUGAAGCCGAACCUCAUCCACUUUUUAAGGAUGGAAAGAAACCCACACUCCAGAUGUUCUUGUCCGAUCUUCUCAAAAUGAAAAGUGAUGAAGUGGAUGGAUCUCUGAGAGGAGAGAAAGCCAUCAGUGAAAGGAUUAUCAGUCUUGGAUACAGCAAAGAGCAAGAAAGUGCAGUAAGGGCAGCUAAAACUAUAAUGUAAGCUUAUUAUCUCUUGCCAUUUCCCAUUCUUUCAGUACCAAGUAACGCUUAAAUGGACUGAAUUGUUACUUUGUGUGGAAUAGAUUUUUGGGACUGCAUGAGCAGAAAGAAAUUCCUGCCUCCUGCAAAAGUGCUUUUGAUGUCAGCUGUCUCCUCAUGGAAGAUAGGUUGGCAUACUCCAGCACAGAACAGGUAAAUUCCUCAUCAGCAAAAUUCAAGUACAGAUUUUAGUGGCCAAAAUUAUGUGCUACUGCAACUUGUGGGAUUUUUGGUCACAGGAUAUGGUGCUUUUACAUCAUGAAGUGGAGGUUGAGUUCCCGGAUUCCAAACUCAAAGAGAAACACAGUGCCACUUUACUGGAAUUUGGGACAAUUAGGAAUGGUAAAAUGGUCACUGCCAUGGCUUACACUGUUGGUAUCCCGGCUGCCAUUGGAGCUCUGGUACUUUGUUACACAUUUUUAUUCAUUACACUGUAGAGGGAGGUAUAGUGCCUAAAUGAGUAUACCUCAAUUGUGGUUUUGCAGCUCAUACUUGGAAACAAGAUCAAAACAAGAGGUGUCCUGAGGCCUCUUGAACCUGAAGUAUACGUCCCAGGUAACCAAACGAUGAAGCUUGUUUGUUUUUCAGAUUAGUCGUUUAUCAACAAAUGGUGUCUAAAUGUAGUGGUUUGUGGUCUGUGCAGCCAUGGAUAUCCUACAAGCAUAUGGUAUCAAGGUAAUGGAGAAGGUCGAGUGAUCCAAAUGAUCAACUUUCCCUGCCUUCUUCCUAUGUAUAGACUCAAUUCCGCAUCAAGUUUCAUGGAGUUGCCCGAUUGGAAACAGAACUCCCCAGGUGGAAUUAUAGAACAUAUAAUAUGUAACGGGGCUCCAAUGACAAGGUUUUGCAAAGCUUUCUUGGUGGAAAACGCACUACUUGCAAACUGGAGGAGCUUCCUAAUGCUACAUUUUUGUAUGCAAAAUAACAUUGUGAAUAAUGAACUUGACACGCUUGAUCAUAUGUCUCAAUGCAUAACCAUGAGCUCAUGGCCUCUAAUUGACCCAUGUAUAGUUUGCCGAGAAGCUCGAAAAAUUUCAGAGGCCAUCUCCAAUGGGAGGUUGCAUACUAAACUUUAAAACAUUUUUGCCAAAUGCCAUCUUAAUUGGUGGGAUAAGCUUCAUAGACCCAUCCUUGGAUUGCAAACUACUAACUUAUGUUUCUAGAACAAUUAGAUGCUACUGUUGCAAUGUGACAAUGAGAUAAGGUUGCCUCACAUGCAAACACAACCCAGAUUUACUUGCACAUUUUCGGUUGGAGAUGGUUUACAUAUAUAACUCACUAUUUGCAUGAACAGUAACAAUGACUCGAUGAGGGUUGCAAUUUUCAAAAUAGAACAUCUAUUUACACCUUCACUCUUCAACUGGAGAUGGCAACGCCUUGCCCUUUUAGUUUUAGGAUGAUAAUAAAGAAUACGAUCAAGAUCAAUCUAAAAAAUAAAAUCAGAAUUCGUACACUUCAAAAUUAAACAAGAAUGGCUUCAAACAGCCUUCUUGAAAUCAAAUGAAUGAAAAUUGUUGAAUUAAUUUCGCCAUCGUCCAUAUAUACAUCUCUUUUGAGUUUUCCCUUUAGCCCCUACUCUCUUCCUAAAUAUAAAAAGAUAAUGAACAAAAACCAGUCCUGGCUAGACCAGUUGACAUUGUGUUAUCUGGCAAAUACCAUUAGUGUGCGCCUUCCAUCAUAAGUAUCAAUCUGAGAACUAGUCCCAAGGGACUCUGAAGAGGGAAUCGUUUUUUUUUUCUUCACCUCUCAUCAUUAUCCUACGACAGUUUUCACCAGAAAAACCAAACCUAUUUGCCUGGACUUCAUAAAGCUUCUUAAUCAAGACUAAUACAGGUUUGCUUUUUUCCAUGAGGUGCUUGCCAAGCAUUAGAAUGAGCGCAACGUAUCAUGACAAACUAGUGAUCAAUCUUGUAAGAUGUCAGAAAAAACCUACGAAGUAACCCAUGCCAUUAAUUGCUUCUCCACUGCUUCCCAGUUAUGAACCUUGGUCACCAGGGGAUGUAGAUCAACAGAAUCGGUCUUGCACCAGGGAUAUGAGUUCUCAAAAUCAAAAAGUAGAACCCUGAUCCCAACUUCGGCACAUUCAAGUGCAUAUCUUGGAUUGUCAUCAAUCAGAACCGUUGCUCCUAGAGACCUGCAAAUCCAUAUCAUCAGAAUAGAGCCUGUAGUGAUACUAUAAGGUACUCCACAAAAUGAGCAAGCAUGCAAACAUGCACCAUACAAUUUUGGUUUGGGGAAAAGGAUAUUUGAACACCACAUCCACUUUGGACUGUAGAAUCUGUAACAUACCUGCAUAUUUCUGACUUAGGCCUUGAUUCUCCAUGUAGAGCAAAGUGGUUCCCAAAGUGAAUCUCCUGAAAUAGUCCUGGAAAAUGACUUUCAAUCCAUUGAAUUGUAUGGUCCUUGAUUGCAUUCUGACGAGACCUUUUAAUUUUGCAUACAUGCCGAAACAUGUUAGUCCAUGCUCAGGUAAACAUAAUCAAUAUGAAAGGAACUCAGCUAAUUGUACAUACGUCACAACUGACAGGUUACAAAAUCCUGACAACUUAUGAAGUGUCUCCUUAGCACCAGGGAGUGGAUGGAUCCCAGUCUUGAAAUAUGGUGUUUUAAAGAACUCGUGAACACGUAGAUCGGCUGUAAAAAAAAAAAUAUAUAUAUAUAUAAUAUCAACCACCUAAAUAUUUUCAAGACUUGAUGAAAGAUAUAACAGGGUAUAACAUUGCAGGUACAAGUCUAGAAAGCAGAAUCAAACCCAUAAUCAGGUCAUUAGUUUCUACUUUAAAUAUCUACCUACAUGAAAUAUAAAACAUAACCAUACGAUCCAUGUUAAAAAGGUUCACAGAACUAAGAGAUUACUUUAUUCUAAGACAUCCAGUUGGUCAAGUCAAAUGUCUGAUUACAUCAACAGUUAUGCACCCGAAGAUUUGACCUUCACAUCAAGAGAAUCUGGUGAUUCAUUUUAGAUUCAAAUAUGACCCGAACCAAGAUGUAAUUCAUUUUAUGUAGAAGGUCAACUACAUUAGCUGCUAAAAGUCCUCUAUUUUUUUCUUUUUCUUUUCUGAAGACCUCCUACAUGUCCUCUAACAUCAUAAAAUGCUGAUCAUAAUGACAAUGAUUAUGUAACCACAUUACAAUGCAGGACAGUAAAAAGGAUAAUGGGCACAGUAUCAGUACCUUCAUCACGGGAACAAUUCCAUAUCUGCAACAGAAACAAUACCAUCCAUCACAAUAUGCUCACUAAAACGUAAACAUGUCACAAUAUGCAAAACCAACAAGACACCCUGACAUCAUAUAGCACUAAUCCAUUAGCUCAAUACCUUGAAGAACUCAUACACAUGGUACUCCGAAACCGAAUGGUUCGCCGCGUAACGAUCAGCAAUGAACCUGUUGAGCGCCGACACAAAGUUCCCCAGAACUGCACACCCAAACAUACAAACACAACAUCAAUCACAUAUCAUCGAAAACAAACCAAACCACAAAACAAGUGAACCUCCAUACCCUCAUCCACAUCAACCGCCACCACAAUCUUCUCCCUCCCCAACAAACUCUGACUAUGAAACCCGUUAAUCUUCCUCCCCGGAAACCUAACCUCCCCGGAUCUCCGUAUCUCCAAAUCCACGUCCCUUACAGCAUUACUCUUCAAUCUUUUGUUCUCACUCCCAACACAACACUUGACGCUCAAAUCACCUCUACUCUGAUUCCGAAUCCGCCACGCGAGUCGAUCCAACGGCCAGCAGGGCUUCUGCGGCGGCUGAGGAAUCGGGGAUUGGGCGUGGAAUCCCUUACAGUUAUGGCCGUACAAGUACGCGGCCAUAGAGGUGAAUCGAGGAGGAAGACGAGGAGGAGGUAAUAAAGGUCGGAGCUUUGAAGGGUGUGUGAGGUAGUUAACGGCGCCUUGACGUUUCAAAACCAACAUAACGAUUCCCAAAACAAAACCCAGUCACACUCCAACCACCAUUGAUUGAUUUGAUUUGAUUGGACCCAGAAAAACCCUAAAACACUUUCGAAAUUCAAAACCCACCCAGAACGCGAAAAGCUUGAGACUUUGUUUUCUAAGUGGGGUUGGGUAUAUACCGUAUAUUCAUGGCUUCGUGCUCCGAGAAACCCUGCAACUCUGAGCCAAUCAUAUAUAAAAAAAAGUUUGUAACUUUAAUUUUAAUUUUGAUUUUUUGAGAAAAAUAAAAUAAAAUUAUUGGUUUAAGCGAAAAUCCGGGAUAGAUUUAUGAUUCACGUUCCCUCCUUUUUCAUCAUUUGUUUGUUGGAUGGGGAGUGGGGCCCAGAGAUGGAGGAUCGGACGGUGUUGGAUGGACUGACUUUCCGGCACCGUUUUGGCGAUGGCCAUCCGUGUCUUUUUCUUUUUUUGUUUUUCUCGAUUUUGAUGUCUGGGUUUUCUUUGGCCAUGGAAAUUUUUAUGCUAAUAUUGGGAUUCCUCGGGUAUUGGGGAAUCGAUUUUGUAUGGUUAGAUGAAAAGGUCGUUUGUUUGUUUUGGCAUUCUUGAGCCUUGGGCCUAUGAUUCCACUGAUUUUUUGUUGUUGGUUGAUGCGUGAUGGUGUAGAUUGUAAAAGAUGGAGAUGAAAAUGCAAGUAAAAGAAGUGAUAAUGGAGAGUUACUUGAAGUUUUACAUCUCUGCAUUCAUUUUCUUUAUGAACAUAAGGAAAUACAUAAAUAAGUAAUAAUGACACGUUUCUAGUUUUAAGAAGCUCAAAUUUAUGCAACAGUAUCACUUUUCUAAAAAAAUUUAAAAAUAGGUGCGAGAAAAAAAUGUUACGUAUCACUACUUGAUUGAUUGAGGACAAAUGAUUCAAGGAAGUGCAACUCCAUAAGGAAGUCCAAUUCGGACAAUGUGGACACUUAAAACUUAGAUGAUCAAUGUGGACAAUAAUACAAGGACAAGUAAUGCCAUCACAACUGUUUGGGAGCUAUGCUCACUAAGUCCUGCAGCCACUGAAGAAGGAGGCCGUCUAGGAGCUUUCUGGUGCUUGGACAGAUCGAUCAUGAUCUCAAAUCGACAAGUCGUGUUCUGGCCACUCGACGUUGGAGAUGGAUCGACAUUUGUGGUGAUCGAAAGAUUCGAGAAUUGGCACGCAUCUUUGCGUUGGUCCUUGGUUUGGUAGUACAUAUUGAAAGCAUAAGAAGCAUUGCUCCUUGCGUCAAGCAUUCCGCAAGAAGAACCAUAUCCAAGACUAGUGCAAUCGGCAUAAGAGCAAGCAUAGUUGAUGCUGCCGGCCAAAUUGGGGUCGGAAGUGCUUGCUGUAGGUGACAUUAUGCACCAUUGUCUUGCCAAGUAUUGCACUCCUUUAGCCGCGACCAUAGCUUUUCCAUUGCCUGUGUUCAAGGUACAUGUCAAAGUUAGCACCAAUGUUGAGGAUUGUCAAAUUGUACCAAGUACUAACAUAACAUUUCUUUUUUUGAAUGAAACAUAACGUUUCAACUACAUAGCACGCAAAGGAAGAUUACCCUUGAUAUAAAUCAUAUAAUCUCAAUCUAGAUGAAAGAAAUGAAUGAAACUACUCAGAAAAUAUCGAAAAAUUUCAAAAACAUUACCAAAGUCUCGAAGAAUAUACCUAUAUCCAAGAAGUAUUUAAGUGAUCCAUCAUAGUUGAAGACGCCCCAAUGCCGCUCAAAAUUUCCAGGUUGGACGCUCUUGGCAUCUUCAUCAAUGAGUCCGAAUAUGUAUAUGUCAGGCGGGGUUGACCUCUUUGGGGUGCCUUGCCCUGCAACUAUACGACCCAAAAGGCCUUGAUUGAACCUUCUUGCGUCUUCUACGUUAGCAUUGGGGUCACCAUCAGUCGGCCACCCUAUUUCUCCGACAAUAACAGGCAAAGAGGGGAAGCCAUUCUUUUCCAGGGCAGCAAUGCAAGUAUCAAAAUUGGCGUCAAGAACAUUGGUGUAGGAAAUGGAGCCAUCCACAACAGGUUUUGCACCGUUGUCAAAAAAGGCAUAUUCUUUAGGGAAGUCAGGGUCAGCUUGGAGACUAAGGAAUGGGUAGAUAUUGAUAGUGAGAGCACCCCCAUUGUCACUUAGGAACUUAAUGAUGGAGAGCACGAGGCUGUGGAUGUCGGACCGGAAGUCGCCACCAGAGGGAAGACCGGUGUCGGUCUGGUAGACGUCCGCAUUGAGUGGAACGGUGACCUUCACUUGUCUCCCUAGCCCGGCCUUUAUGAGGGCUGCUUGAAUGUUUUGGAGUGCUGGAAAUGUUGUUUUGAGGAAUGUGUCUUUGUAGGUUUUGAGGAAUGGUUCAUUUCCUACAGCAAUAUACCUAGAUAGAUUGACAUGUCAAAUAAAAUUGAGUUUGAACAUGUUUUCUCAAUAUGUUCUUAGAACGAACUUGUAGCUAUAGUAGUAAAAAAAUGCCUAGCAUCAAAUUUAGAGCAUCAAAGCUUUUAGUCUUUUACCUUAUAUCAACUCCGUAUUUGGAUAUGUAGUUCGAGACAUUCUGAUACACCCACGUCUCAGCAAUUGUAACAGUACUUGCGAGUGCUGCCAGGAACUCAUUCGGUAUUCCCAGCAUAACCUGGAUACCGGAAUUUCCUAGAGCUUCAAGCGCCCCAGGAUCAGCUUCAAAUAGCUUCACUUUGCUGAACCCAUUGUCCUUCAAAAGCUUCACAACUAUAGUAGGUGGCAAUGGGUGUGUCGCCUGGGUUCCCCAGUUGCAUGCAAAGCCACCAUGAACGCCUCUCAAAAGACCUUCACUAAAUAAGCAGAGCAACAAAACAUACAGGUAACGAAAACCCAUGUUUCCGUAUGACUUUCAAUAUGGUUUGUAAGAUAGGAAGCACACUGCUUUGGAUUUAACAGACCUAAAAGGAGGGAAAAUGACUUUUAGGAGAGGAAAGGUAAAGGAAUCACAUAAGGAACAACCCGUUUGAAUGGCUUCUGAGCUUAUUACAUUAGGAAGAAUAAUCCAUCAAGAAAAGAAUAGAGUGAACUUGUUGCAAACCAUAUUUUGGUGCUAGUGUUUCUUGGAUGGGAAACGAAAACCAACACAGAAGGAAUGCACUUUUCCUAACUAUAAAAGCGAAAAUUAUACAGCGACACCUGGGUGCGCCACGCACCCGUCCAUCUCUGCCGUCCAUUUUGAAAAAGUCAAAAGUCCGCGUCAAAUGGACGGCGGAGAUGGACGGAUGCGCGGCGCACCCAGGUGCGCUGAAUACGCUCUCCUAUAAAAGCUGCAAAGGGAAAAGUCCCUUUAGUAAUCUCCCUUCACUUUGUUACAAACUAACCAAAUAAAAAGUCUUAUGCUAUUCCUUGUUAGAAACCACCGUAAGAACUUUUUGAAUAGUACUAUCAACAUAAUUUAGGACGAACAAAUAGCUUUCACAACUGACAUAUUACAUGCUUCUACUUGUCUCAUCAUCUUUUUACAAUAUAACCUCAUCAAAACUUGUACUGAAUUCAAAUGUGGAGCUAUAUGACAUACAGUAAAUACUAAAUAGGAUAUACCAUCAUUGUCAAUUGAGUUUGGAACGAAAAUGAACCGAUGUUUAAAAGAAAUAAAACGAAUAAUUAUUCAUCUUCUCCUGAAGAAUCAAACUCACCAUAGUCCGAAUCAAACUCACCAUAGUCCCAGUAAGCUAAUGAAAUAAGUGCAUUUGGUGCCAUCCAACGCAAAGAGUCCGUGAAGGCAGAAAUUCCGGCCAUUGUUUGCGGACAACGAAGACGCACAAUGAAGACCUUUAAACGCUGGAUAUGAAGUAACGGUGGAGAGAAUGUCUUCCUGAAAUUUUCUGGAAAUGUGAGAGCUCUAGCAACGGCAUCAUGACGGAUAUCUAGCUCUACUUCAUUGCAGCAACUAAAGUUUUGAAGAAGAUUUCUCCAAGUUGGAAAAUGUGUCCUUGGGGGUUCUAGACCUUGGUCAUCAUCAUCCCAAUUAAGCGUGAGACUUGCAUCAAAUCGCUUUCGAGCGUUCACAGAGAUUACAUCAUUAGUCAGCAAAUAACCAUUGUAUGUAAGAUGUAGGAGAUUUGGAAUAUCAAUAAUGGCCUUCAAAUUAUGUGGACAUUUUCCGGGCAUUCUGAAGCUAGUCUUGUCCGAAUGGUGAGCACAAACACCGAUAUUUUUCAACUUGACGCAUUCAUCACUCAAGUAGAUUGAACUUAGUUGAGGAAAUACUCAAAUGAAUACAAAAGAUUCAAGGUUUUCAGCUUCAACGUUAAAAUACAUGCACUCGCAAUAUGUAACCUGCAAGAAUUCAAGACUGGAAUUAUUGACAGCAAUGCGGCACCCAUCCCCAACUGAGCUAAAAGAACACGAAACUAGCAACAAAUGCUUGAUAUAUGGAAGGACAGCCCUUCCAUAGUGAUCUAUCGAAAUCCAUGUUGCAAUCAAACAACACAGCGUAUAGGGUCAUAAUUUUCAACAACGGGAGGCUUAUCAGAUCAGUACUCUCCGGUAUUCGGACAUGCUGCAGAUUCAGAUGAGUAAGAUAUUGCGCAUUGAGAAUGGUAUGGGGUAUGCAGUUGUAUGUGGUUUCUUUGACGACUGAACUUCGAAUGCUGAUAUAUAACUCCUUGGCGCGUCUAUCAACCACAAAACUAAACCACUUGUCUAAUCUUGUCGAGUCUAUUACUUGAGAAUCAUAUCUCAUUCGAAGCAUGAACCUGUCCAACUCCAACAGCUUGGUUCUCUCAAAAUGUUUCAAAGAAGUCCAUGAACAACAGCUUCCUGCGGUCAUCGGAUUCUCCCUCGUCAUCGAAAUAUAAGAAGGGGACUCCCAAAGACCACACGCUUGCCCAUUGUUUGGAAACAAUGCUUGAGCGUAUGGCAAGUUUUGUGGGAAUGAGUCGGAAAAUCUUUUCAAGAAUAAGGUCUGGAAGGUGAGGUAGCAAUGUGUCCGCGGCCAUGGCGUUUUGAUCAACCUGCUCAUGGUCUUGCUUUUUGAGCCUUUUGUUAUCAGGGUUUGCAUUGCUACUCGGCACCAUGUAUAUAUCUGGAUGAAUCGAAAGAGAGAUUUAGGAAACUAAAAGAAAACUCUUAUCAUGUAUACACCAAUUUCUUUUGAAAAAAAUCAAUGAAACAUUUGGAACUAUAAAGACCGAUCGAAUUAACAUGAUAAGAUUUCAUUCUGUAUGUUUAUCGUAAUCAGCAGUUGAUAGUAGUUGGUGAAAUCAAAGCGAUAACAUUAACAUAUAUAACCCAUACCUCAAUCUGAGUAAGCCUAGCCUUGAUAUCCUGGUUUCAGAUCGACGACCCAGGAUCGGAACUUUGUUUUCCUUCCUUCACGGAUGCACUGUAUAGUGUGUUGUGACUUAUAGGAAUCCCGACUCCUUGUGAAUGUGGAAUUUGUAUUAACAAUUUAUCUUGACCUAACGCAGUAUUUGGUACAAUCUGCCGUAGAUGGAUACAAUGUGUGCAUAUAUUUGCAUAUGGGCAAACAGUUUCUGGGACGACAUGUACCAUUUAUGGUACAGAAAGUAAUCGUAGUCUUAGCCCUACAGCUACUGCAGAACUUUUUAAAAUCUUGAAGCGAGACAACAACAAGUUCUCAUUUUCUUUGAAGGUAUAUUCUCAAUUUUAUAGAAUGAACACACUUGUUACCACUAAAGUUUCUGCAAUAUGUUGCAUUGAUGCAUCUUUAAUAGCCCUCAGAAGACUAGUUUGUACUAGAAUAGCUAAAUCCUUCGAACUUUUCACAAUAAAAUGACAUUAAAUAUAUUCUUAUUGUUUUUUUUUUUCAAAGAAUGAAUUUACUUCAUUGAUCAAGAAUCAUUACAUUCAUUAAAAAUAAGCUCCUCAACAAAUAGAGGAGGUACAAUAGAGAAACCCAAAUUCAUUCUAGUAUGCAAAGCAGCCUACGCCAAAGAGUGGGCAGCUAUGUUAGCAGUUCGGCGGACAAAAGACAAACUAGCAGCCGAUGCCAUCCUCAGUCCUUCACGCAGAUCAUCCAUAAGGAAUCCCAGGACAAAUAUGUUAUUGUUAAUAUAAUUAGUUUCCUCCAAUAUUAUAAUCAAAUUAAUUUGUAUCAUAAAAAACCAACUGGACUUAGAAGCUAUAUCAUUUUAUUUCUUACAUACCUUUAAAUAUGACAAAGUCAUUGUUAAAUUGUGAUCGUCAGAAAACAUUUUUAAACAGCAGCAAUUCACAAAUCAUGAAUGAACUAUGUUGGUUAACCAGAUGGACUUUAUAGUGAUAGCAAUGUUUUUUGCUCCCAUCAAUGGGUUUAUAGCGUCUCACUAGAGAGCUCACCCGCACUCUGCAGAGAGAGAGAGAUGGGCAAUUUUGUAAAUAACCGAAAUUAGAGGACAUAACGAUAAUUGAAUGAUAGUUUUAUAAAUAAAAUAAAAACAGGGGCACAUUGAUAAUUUUCAAGACUGUAGUGGCAAUUCUGUAAAUAAGCGAAAGAAGGGACAAAAUGGUAAUUUUUGGAAAAUAAACAUUGUAGCUACAGUUAAGCAGCUUGCUGGCAAAUAGAGUAUUGUAAAUGUUACCCACCCACCAAAACACAUGGCGAAUAAAAAAGAAAAAAAGAAAAAAAAACUGACUUUCCUGAGUUUAUCUAUUAGAACUGGAAGGAAAAAUAAAGCGAAGUGAUAUGUUGUGCAACCCCCUGCAACAUAUUGUCAUUUAGCCUUUGAAUUCAUGUAUAUAUUGUAAUGCAGGCAUAUAUGGUGGAGAAAUGUCAUGAACAAAGGUGCAGAAAUGUCAAUUAGAAAAAAAUGUGACUCACAAAGCAAGUACCGAUGCUUGUCUCAAUCCUAGUCAGACAAAUUUACUAAUGUCACUAACUCACUCAACUUGGACAAAAUUUGAACAGACCAUCUUCUGUGUCUGUUUUUUUAGUGUUGGGGAGGGUUUGAAGAAGAAGGCUGAUCAUGGUCGGUAUUUGCAUUUGGGUUGUUGUGAUGCUACGCGAGAUAAUACUGGUGUAAAUCAGACCAAAAAGUAUCAAGGGGAAUUUCCUUGUGUGUUGGCAUGCAGUAUCUGCUGGAAACCAAGGUGAACUGAGUCUUUAGGUUGUAAACCAUAUUUUGGUGCUAGUGUUUCUUGGAUGGGAAACAAAAACCAACACGGAAGGAAUGCACUUUUCCUAACUAUAAUUAGUUUCCUCCAAUAUUAUAAUCAAAUUAAUUGGUAUCAUAAAGAACCAACUGGACUUAGAAGCUAUAUCAUUUUAUUUCUUGCAUACCUUUAAAUAUGACAAAGUCAUUGUUAAAUUGUGAUCGUCAGAAAACAUUUUUAAACAGCAGCAAUUCACAAAUCAUGAAUGAACUGUGCUGGUUAACCAAAUUGACUUUAUAGUGAUAGCAAUGCUUUUUGCUCCCAUCAAUGGGUUUAUAGUGUCUCACUAGAGAGCUCACCCGCAGAGAGAGAGAGAGAGAGAGAGAGAGAGAGUAGUUUUUGAAAAUAACCGAAAUUAGAGGACAUAACGAUAAUUGAGCUGGCCACUCAUUUAUAGUUCUUUAAAUAUUAAAUAAAAUAAAAACAGGGGCACAUUGGUAAUUUUCAAGACUGUAGAGGCAGUUUUGUAAAUAAGUAAAAGAAAAGACAAAAUGGUAAUUUCCGAAAAAUGAAUAGUGUAGCUAUAGUUAAGCAAUUCGCUGGCAAAUAGAGUAUUGUAAAUGUUACCCACCCACCAAAACACAUGGCGAAUAAAAAAGAAAAAAGAAAAAAAAAACUGACUUUCCUGAGUUUAUCUAUUAGAACUGGAAGGAAAAAUAAAGCGAAGUGAUAUGUUGUGCAACCCCCUGCAACAUAUUGUCAUUUAGCCUUUGAAUUCAUGUAUAUAUUGUAAUGCAGGCAUAUAUGGUGGAGAAAUGUCAUGAACAAAGGUGUAGAAAUGUCAAUUAGAAAAAAAUGUGACUCACAAAGCAAGUACCGAUGCUUAUCUCAAUCCUAGUCAGACAAAUUUACUAAUGUCACUAACUCACUAUAUUCAACCUGGACAAAAUUUGAACGGACCAUCUUCUGUGUCUGUUUUCUUAGUGCUGGGGAGGGUUUGAAGAAGGCUGAUCAUGGUCGGUAUUUGCAUUUGGGUUGUUGUGAUGCUGCACGAGAUAAUGCUGGUGUAAAUCAGACCAAAAUGUAAAGUAUUAAGGGGAUUUCCUUGUGUGUUGGCAUCCGGUAUCUGCUGGAAACCAAGGUGACCUGAGUCUUCAGGUUGUAAACCAUAUUUUGGUGCUAGUGUUUCUUGGAUGGGAAACGAAAACCAACACAGAAGGAAUGCACUUUUCCUACCUAUAAAAGCUGCACAGGUAAAGUCCCUUUAGUGAUCUCCCUUCACUUUGUAACAAACUAACCAAAUAGAAAAACUCUUCUGCUAUUCCUUGUUAGAAACCACCAUAAGAACUUUUCAUUUAGUUUAUCAAACAUUAUUUAGGACGAACAAAUAGCUUUCAUAACUGGUAUCUAUUUCUGGGUAUUUAAUCAGAGAUACUUACAUUAAAUAAUAACAAAAAUGAUGACUAUAAACCCGACUCAAAUCUAUGUUCUCCCCUUUCUGUUUACUUCCUUUUCUACAUUAACAUCAUUACAACAAAAUUUACUGGGGAAGGUGAAAUUUGAAAUAAGAUCAUAUACCUCUAUACGAAGAAAAUGAUAUUUAUAGGCAAAGGAGAAAGAAUAUUAGCCGAACAAAAUUAGACAAUCAGUGUAUAGAGACUUGAAGCGGUGAUCCUGAUGUUUGGGACGCUAGUCAAGGUGGCGAGAAAAGGAAACAGCAGCUAGGGCAGUAGUGCUUUCAGUUGUGCCCUAAACAGAUCACCGAGAGCUCCACGAAUAUCCAUCUGAAGAAAUGAAGGCAAUUAUAAGUUUCCCCAAACAUAUCCUAAUCUCUAAUUAGUAAAUGAUUAACUGUUGAAGUGAAGCAUCAAAGCAUGAAUAUGGCAGUAUUGAAUUAACAAACAAGGAAAUAGGAGAUUACCUGGUCGCAGCAUACAAGUUUUGUAAGCAAAGGAUAGAAGUCUCUCAGAUGUCUUCUGAAAAUCUGUGGGUUCAUAAAGCACAUGCCUUUGAGCACCUGAAAAGUCAAUACAGUAAGAAAAUUUACAUCUGUAAUAUGAAGGAGGCAACCAUAAGCCAUUUUGGUAGAAAGAAAAAAAGACAGCCGUUAACAGUUCAUACCUUAACAAUUAUUGGAGAUCGUAACUCCAGAACACGGUGAAUAUCCAUAUUAGUCACAUCUCCAGAACUGGACUGCAGCUCAGAUGCCUCCCUGAGUACUUGUUCGCAGAAAGACACAAGUUUGUCUUCCGCUAAUCCUUCAACAUUCUCUUCAGCGCUUGAAUCAUUAGUUUCUGCAAGUCCCUCUUGAUUGGCAGGAAACUGGGAAGUUGCUUUCUGUAAGAUGUCCAGAUAUAUGCAAGUUCCUGUUAACUCUUGGCGAAGAAGAUUCAAAGGUGGCCUGUCCAAUGGUUGGAUAGUCAGAAACUAUGUUCUUGAAGGAGAUAAAUUUCACAGAAAAGUACUUGCACACAAAUUUUCAUCCUACCUCUCAUCAGAAAUUUGGUGCAUGCGUGUUCUGAGAUUUGUAUAUGAAUUGUAGGAAGCUGCAAAUUCUAAUGCAGACAACAAAAUGUCCAAUAUAGCAAUCUUCUGUGGUGCUUUCAACUUGCUCCAGUAUUUCUUCUGCAAAUUAUAUAGUGGUUAUAUUAGCAAAAAGUUCUUGAAGAUUUAAAAGUUUAGGAUUUAGAGGGAGAGAGAGAGAGAGAGAGAGAGAGAGAGAGAGAGAAAUAAAAACAGACCUGGAUACUAUCAAUGGCUCCCAGAAGUAAUAAUUGAGUAAUGCAUUUGCCCCUACAAGUUCCCAAUACAGAGCUUUCCUCCUCAUCUUUGAUAUCAGGUUCAGCAACAUCAGCAACCUAUGCAGCAUAUCAAAAAGACACGACAAAUAGCAAUCAAAACAUGUGCUGAAACACACAUGACAAAGCCAUAAAAUCUAGACCACAAAAAAGAACGACAAAGCCAUAAAAUCUGGGUUGUAAUCUGUGUAACAAGAUUAGCAGAAGUAAUAUGCUGUAACAUUAUACCUUAACUGGAGAAGAUGGUACUGAAGCAUCAGAACUCUUGGGCUUAGAUGAAAGAUUUCUGAGAAAGAGGUUACCCAUAAUUCUUUGACCAAUUGUUUGACUACGUUGGAGGUUUUCAUCAUCAGCAGAUUUUGAAGCACUUCCUGACGGUGAGUUAAGGCCUACAAGACAGAAAAAAAAAAUUAAAAUAAAAUUCAAGUCAUUCAUCAACAAAAACUCAUAAUCUACAUUCAUAAAGAGUUGGUUUAAACAUCAUUGACUCCUCAAGUUCUAUGUCUGAUGAAUGAAAACUACCAUAAAAGCAGUCUUAGAAUUUGAACGUUAACAAAAGCCAUUUUGGUAAACAUGAAAAUUCAUAUAUAAUUUCAAAAAUCUGACCUUCAGAUCCAUCCAAGUUCAUUUGCACCCCUGAUUCAACUGAUGCAUUUGGAUUUCUAUCAUAGUCUCCCCCAUCAUAGUCAGACAUUAAAGAAGGACCACCGGAAUUGACCUCUAAAUUUAACGUCCUCUCAUUCUUCAGGUUCUCAAAACCCAAGGCAUUUAACAGUUCAAGUGGUUGCGUUGUGUACAAAGCAUCUCUGAAUAACAACAAGAUCAGUAGAAUAGAUAAUUAAUCAGAAUUAGAAUGACCAGAAAAGAUUUCCAGAUAAUAAGAGAUACACACCUUAUGCUUUUCAAUAAUGUAUCCCAAUCACUCUCACUAAAUUGAUGUCCUCCAACUUCAAUUAGAUGCACCAGUGCACCCAGAGAUAACGAAACCACAGCUUGAUCAGUCUUUUUGGCACAAUCUAACAGUAGACUGAGUAGUGGUGGCAACAUGAAACAUACCUCCUGCGCAUGGGAAAGACUGUCAGUCACACUAAUUUCCAAACACCAGCUUAAAAUUUAUAAAACCCUUCUUAUACCUCCAAAGCCAAUAAAUUGAAAAUCAGUCUCCAUUCGAUUUACUACAGGUUCGAAAAUUACAAAUCCACAUUUAUUUCCCCUAAAAAUGGAUAAUUCUUCACAAAACAAGCAACAAUUCAAUUUAUAAAGCUAGUUUUUAUCUCAAACCUACCUUGUAAAAAGUGUUGAAAAGGUUGCACAGCAACUGAAGUGAGUGAAUGCUUGUUUCACGGAACCAUUCCUCAUCAGAAGAAGCCGAGCUUUCCUUUCCAGCAUGUCUUACAUGGUCAAAUAUGGGAAACAAGACACGAUGGAAGAUGCUCUCCCAAAAGGAUGAGGAGAACUUGUUACCUCUCUCAUUCAGUAGAUCAAAUAAAACUUCAAGCGCACAGCUUCUGACCUCUGGCCUUGUAUCUGAUGUCAGGUCAGACAGACCAGCCAGCAUUGGGAACCAAUAAUGCUCAGUCACAUCAAAGUUUGUUGUAUCAUUAUCUUCUAUAGGCUUCAAAGCACCACCAGGUAUAAGACCCUGAAUUGGACAGACCAAAGGUUAAACAGGAAUGUCCGGAUAGCAAAUAGACAGGGUACCAAUAAGCCAGAAGCAACUGAAAAACCAUAGGCAUCCACACAACCCACAAUAACCAAAUCCACCAAGCCCAAUACCAGUGAAGUUUUUUGUUAUUCAAUGGGAAGAGAGUAAUUAAAAUAUCACAUCAAAGGCAAAGUCUUUCUUCCUAAUCAUUUGACCAUGGGUGCAGUAUCCCACAACUGCAUGUGUUGUGUCAGGUCAAACUGACAAAGCCACAAAGCUCAGCGGAAUCAUUUUGUAAUUAACUUUAUCAGCUUCAGCGGCAUUAUUAUGGAUUCGGUGUCACCAUUAGUCUGUUUAUAUUUUAACAUUAUAUCUUCAAAACAAAGAAAGACCAACACACCUCAGCCAAACGAUCCUCACAUAUGCGCAGGAGUGCAAUAGCCUUCAAACUUAUACGGUGUGAAGUUCUAUUAUUGGCGAAUCGGAUAAGACAGUUGACACAGUCCAUGAAACAAUCUCCAACAACUUGAUCAAAGUGUUCCAAGAUCACUGCAAGUUUCCGGAUAUUAGAUAUAUUGAUAUUGUAAGGACGGGGAAAACCAUCACCGUCAUGAAGAUCACAGUAAGGAAAAUAAAUUAAUACCUUGUUCGACAUUUUCAAAUGCACUCUCAACAAUAGAUUCCAAUUCAUCAUCUGCAGAAGCUGUAAAAAUCAUGAAAACACUACGCCAACCAGACUUGAUGCUCCCCACUUUAGAUUUUAUCAUCUGCAAAUGACAGCAGAAUAAUUUUGUUUUCAACAGAGCAGUUGUACAUUGAGAAAAAUAACAAUAAGAAACGGAAAGUGCAAUCAGGAAAGCAAAAUAUGAAGACAUACUUGAACAAUGCAGUCAACAAUUAGGCCCCUUAUGGUUUCACUUCGACUAUUGCGCAUAAGUACAACGAAAGGCUUAAGAAUGUCAUUUUGGAAUGUGAAAUUUGCAAGUUCAGCUCGCUCCAGAUACUUCAUACCAAGCUGCCUCAGAGAAUCUAUCGCAUACAUAGCAAUUUUCUCAUCAUGAUGACUCCCAGCUGAAAUAAAGUGGUUUGCCAAAACAGACCAUAUUCUAGCCCAGACCUGUACGACAAAUUAGUGGAAACGUUCAAACGAUGAAGAACACAACUGAAUCACACUUACUGAGUUAUAGUUAGUGAUGACCAUCUUCAAGUGAACAUACAACUUUUACCAGCAAGACAAGAGGUUCCAGUAACAUAACAUACCAUGCGUAUACGAGCCAUGUUGUAGUAGCUGAUCUCAACAAGUUUCUGCAAGCUAAAAACCCGAGCUGGACUUUGUUUUAGUUCUUCAGCUGAUACACCACAGAGUGCAGUGAAGAACUCCACUACAGAAUCGCUGGGAAGCUGAACACUAUUCACAAAUACUUGCUCAGAAGGUUUUCCUGCCAAUUCUCUUAGAGAUUGAAGAACAGCAUCUUUUGAGAUCUGGUUUGAUCCCUGCAUGACUGUUGCAGCAAUAGCAGGUGUUGAACUAAUGAAUUCAAGCCGCGAAACACAUUCCAAAACUGCAUUCCAAGUGUCUUGAAGGGACCCAGUCUCUGAGUCACAAAGAGCUAGUAGAGUCCGCAAUGCUUCCACAUUUUUACUACGCAUUUCCUUUGGAGCAUGCAAGAAUGUAAAUCUGAGAAGCAAACCAAAAGCUGAAAUGAGCAUCAUCAUGAACAUUGCUACACAGAUUAAAUCAGUGAAUACAGAAUCUUUCCAUGUAGGUCAACAGAAGAGAAAGGCAGAUAGAUCUAUAUGAUGACCCAACUAUUUUACCUGACGAGAGAUGUUAAGAAUGCAUAGCGCAUGGUGUCCAUUCCCAGAACGUGUGUAAUGUGUAUUCCUGCUUUAAAUCCUUCCAUGCAGAGAACAAUCCUCGACUUAUUAUCACCCUCUUCCAUUGUAACAGAAAAGGUAGCAAGCAAAGGCCAUCCAACAGCUUCUACCAUAGGCCUUACAAGUUCUAUUUGCUGUGUAGUAUGGAAGACCCCUCUUUUUGCUCCUUGAUUCCUAAAUAUAUCUUGUGCUCUCUUUAUGAUAGCUUCACUUUCAGACUUGGUAUCAGAAGACACCGUUCUUCUGGGAAGAGCCAGAUUAAGAAUACUGACAAGGCGUCCUCUCUCUUCACCUUCUGGCUUAUAUUUGCCACUUUUAUCGAGACUAGUACUCUCAUCUUUCAUCUUUAUCUCUUCUUUAACAAUUGAGUCAUAGAUUUCUUCCAGAAGUUCUUUUGGAGCACAAUCUUCUGGAUCUUCAGUAGCAUUCAUGCGCAUGAAAUCUGACUUGGACAUCUUAGGCCAUACCAUUGGAUUAUGCGCAUCAGUAUUCAACAAAAUAACUGCAUAUGCAAGAACAUAUGCCGUAUCUGCAUUUUUGAAGAGGCCUGGAUUAUCUGCACAGUAUCUGCAUAUGCAACGUGUUACUGUCCAGCAAUCAAAAGGGCAUACAUCACAGUACAAGCUAGAUGCCUAUUCAGUCAGAAAUUAUAUAAAGAUGUAUAAAGGAUAAUGCAUUAUGUAAGCAUUAAUCAAAUGCACAAGUGCACAACCAUGCAAGGAAGAUUUGUGCACACAAGUAUAGACGACAGACAACAACAAUAAAAAACAGAAAAACUCAGUACCUUUCUGCAAACUUUUCCAUAAUGCGAUCUAUCUUUUGAGCUUCCCCUGGAAGUCGGAAUCCUUUGAGAAGUUCACGAAUUGCAGUAUCAAACUUCAUUCCCGAAAAUUUCAUGGAAUCUACAUAAGCAUGCAUGACAGAAAGCGGGAAUUCUUCAUGAUGGCCCAAAUAUUCCCCAAUCAUAGCCUGCAAAAAUGAUAAGCACUAAGAAGUCUGUAUCACUGUAGAAACAUAACUAUGAGACAAACAGAAAUCCAACCUUGUCCAAACUGGGAGUACUUCUCAAAAAUUGGGCAACUGAACUAGGUGUGUUUUCCACUAACUUAUUUGAUCUUAGAUACUCUACACCCUUUACCGGUCGCCUGUUGAACUGCAACAUAUUAAAUCAACAAAUCAGUUGUAGAGUACAAACAGAGCAGUUGUGAUUAAAUAUAAGCAAAACAAUCAGGAUAUCAUGUUAAGCUGAUCAAUUACCUCAGAGAUCGCAGCUUCCAGUGUAGACUUAUGAGCUUUUGCCUUCUCAAAGUUAGUGGUCAUAUCUUGCCUGCUUUUCACAUCAACAGACUCUCUGUCUGAAGCAUCUCCUUCCAGAGACUGAGCAUUUUUACUCUGGUUAUAUGAUUCUCCACGUGACAUUUCCCAAUCUACGAGUGAUUUAAGCACAUUCACAAGACACUGGCAAGGUCAAGGAAAAAGGGGUCAUCCAGGAACCUGUGCUACCAUCAAUGAAUAUAUAGGAGCAAGAAACCAUAUGAUGAACUAGCGAAUCUGUGAAAGGAGUACACCGUUAAACAUACCUGAAGAGAUGAUCCUUUUAUUGAAGUAGUUGGGGAUGCAGUAGCCAUAUUUGGAUCUGCAUUUUGCGUCCCUUGAGAUAUUCUGGAUAGAGUUGUGACCUAAUUAAGAGUCAGAAUACCUUGCAGUAUUAGAUGUACAGCAAUACCAUAUAUGGAUAGUAUUGAGAUCAUCAUUGGGAAACAGUGUAGGUAAAAUUAUACCAUCCGCUCAAACAAGUUUGGUGCCUCAAGAUCACAGUCAUAGUUCACAAAUAUGUCUACAAGCAUCUGAGGAUCCUUGCAAACUUUUUCAACCAUCCUGCAAACACUCAACUCAUUAGAUGACUGGGAAUAAAAUGUCAAAAUCAUGGUGAUCACAGUAUCCAUGCAGGAAUUGAGAGUAACAUUACAAGGUACUAGCAACAUGAUAACCAGGAAAGGCGAUACCUAAGAACACUCAUUUUCUGGUUCAUGGGAUCCGAGCCAUCCAGGGACCGGAGAACUAUCAAGGGAAAGAAGAUGCCUAUUUCACCCUGAAUAAAAAUUGUUGGUGUAAAGAACAGAGUAUGACGAUGUAAUUUCUGUAAGUACUUGUGAAGAUCAUAGACACACCUUGAGACUUUCUCGAAACCGCAACAAAAGCACUAAAAAAAUUCCAGUUGCAUACUGCAGGAAGGAAACUAAUGAUCAGAAGCAAAAAUCAGAUACAAUGUAUCUAAAUCAGAUGAAGAAUAUAUGUAAACCUGAAAUAUGACAGGGGAUGGCGAAACUGAAGCCCGCAACAAGGCAUACGAUAGGUAUGCUUUCACCGAAUCAAUAAAAUGGAAGUUUCUAGUAAAUGGAUGACCAACUCCUUCCAACAAACCCUGAAACACCAAGCAAUAAAUCACAUUUUUUAGAAACACUAAAAAUAAGUAAAAGCACUUUUUAUAAGUUAAUGCCAUGGAAGUCAUCUUCAUGGAUUAUACUAUCUUCUUUUCUCCAUCCCUAGUCUUGGAAGGAGGAAGCUCAUACUUGAUGAGUUCGAGAAAUUACAUCUAAACAAAACUUUCAAGUUAUUUAAUAAUAUCCACUGUGUUGUAUGUGAGCAUCUAUCCAUAAAAGCAUGCACAUAAAAUCACAAAUGAUCCGAAUAUAACCUGCAGAAGCUCAAGAGAUAAAAUCCUCGUCUUCAACGUAACUUCAUUGUUAUCUUCCUUCAUGCCCAUCUGCAAAACAAAGUUUUGAAAUUCAAAUAUGACUAAUAGGAAGCAUCAUGUUGCUUGGGCUCAACAAAUAAAAGACAUUGUACAAAAACACAAACCUUGCACAGGGUUCGGAAAACCAGUAAAGCAUCACGUUGAACUAUGCUCAUACUCUCCAGGUCAAUCCCUCUUAUAAAAAUAGAGCAUCGGUUAGGCGCAUUAUAAAUAAAUGUGCAACACUGGGUGUGUUGGGAAUACAAGAAAAAGAUAUCUUA